AGAGUUUGAUCCUGGCUCAGAUUGAACGCUGGCGGCAGGCCUAACACAUGCAAGUCGAGCGGCAGCGGGUCCUUCGGGAUGCCGGCGAGCGGCGGACGGGUGAGUAAUGCCUAGGAAUCUGCCUGGUAGUGGGGGAUAACUCGGGGAAACUCGAGCUAAUACCGCAUACGUCCUACGGGAGAAAGUGGGGGAUCUUCGGACCUCACGCUAUCAGAUGAGCCUAGGUCGGAUUAGCUAGUUGGUGAGGUAAAGGCUCACCAAGGCGACGAUCCGUAACUGGUCUGAGAGGAUGAUCAGUCACACUGGAACUGAGACACGGUCCAGACUCCUACGGGAGGCAGCAGUGGGGAAUAUUGGACAAUGGGCGAAAGCCUGAUCCAGCCAUGCCGCGUGUGUGAAGAAGGUCUUCGGAUUGUAAAGCACUUUAAGUUGGGAGGAAGGGCAGUAAGUUAAUACCUUGCUGUUUUGACGUUACCAACAGAAUAAGCACCGGCUAACUUCGUGCCAGCAGCCGCGGUAAUACGAAGGGUGCAAGCGUUAAUCGGAAUUACUGGGCGUAAAGCGCGCGUAGGUGGUUCAGCAAGUUGGAGGUGAAAUCCCCGGGCUCAACCUGGGAACUGCCUCCAAAACUACUGGGCUAGAGUAUGGUAGAGGGUGGUGGAAUUUCCUGUGUAGCGGUGAAAUGCGUAGAUAUAGGAAGGAACACCAGUGGCGAAGGCGACCACCUGGACUAAUACUGACACUGAGGUGCGAAAGCGUGGGGAGCAAACAGGAUUAGAUACCCUGGUAGUCCACGCCGUAAACGAUGUCGACUAGCCGUUGGGAUCCUUGAGAUCUUAGUGGCGCAGCUAACGCGAUAAGUCGACCGCCUGGGGAGUACGGCCGCAAGGUUAAAACUCAAAUGAAUUGACGGGGGCCCGCACAAGCGGUGGA
rnacentral:rRNA from 1 species